rnacentral:lncRNA from 1 species
CCCCGAUUGAAGUUUGUAAAAGACCGACCCUUCCAGGGCUUCUCCGACUUCUGACCUUGUGUGGCACUCUCUGAACCCCCCCCCCGACCGUCUGAGCUUCCGGACUUCUCUGACAAUGAGCUUCUCCAUCCAUCUACCGUGCCGCUCCAAAGGCUCUUUAGGCCUCGCUGUUAGCCGACCUUCUACAAUGAUCAACUAUUCUCC